AGAGUUUGAUCAUGGCUCAGGAUGAACGUUGGCGGUGUGCCUAAUACAUGCAAGUCGAACGGAGUUAAUAGCAAUAUUGACUUAGUGGCGAACGGGUGAGUAACGCGUUGGUGAUCUGCCUCGAAGUGUGGAAUAACGUUCCGAAAGGAACGCUAAUACCGCAUGUGCUCUCGAUUUUUAGAAAGUUGAGAGUAAAGGAUUUAUUCGCUUCGAGAGGAGCCUGCGUCCCAUCAGCUGGUUGGUAGGGUAACGGCCUACCAAGGCUAUGACGGGUAGGGGACCUGAGAGGGUGGCCCCCCACAAUGGAACUGAAACACGGUCCAUACACCUACGGGUGGCAGCAGUAGGGAAUAUUAGAAAUGGACGAAAGUCUGAUCUAGCAACACCGCGUGUGCGAAGAAGGCCUUCGGGUCGUAAAGCACUUUUUAGAAGGAAUAGGAAGGAAUGUACUUCCAGAAUAAGUCUCGGCUAACUACGUGCCAGCAGCCGCGGUAACACGUAGGAGGCGAACGUUAUCCGGAUUUACUGGGCGUAAAGCGCGUGUAGGUGGUACUGUAAGUAGGGCGUGAAAGCUCCCGGCUCAACUGGGAGAGGCCGUUCUAAACUACAGAACUAGAGGAUGGUAGAGGGAGGUGGAAUUCCAGGUGUAGCGGUGGAAUGCGCAGAUAUCUGGAGGAACACCGGUGGCGAAGGCGGCCUCCUGGACCAUUCCUGACACUCAGACGCGAAAGCUAGGGUAGCAAACGGGAUUAGAGACCCCGGUAGUCCUAGCCCUAAACGAUGUAGACUAGGCGUCGGAAGUUUAAUCACUUUCGGUGUCCAAGCUAACGCGAUAAGUCUACCGCCUGGGGACUACGGCCGCAAGGUUAAAACUCAAAGGAAUUGACGG
rnacentral:rRNA from 1 species